rnacentral:rRNA from 1 species
GAUGAACGCUGGCGGCGUGCUUAACACAUGCCAGUCGAACGAAGCACUUUAUUUGAUUUCCUUCGGGACUGAUUAUUUUGUGACUGAGUGGCGGACGGGUGAGUAACGCGUGGGUAACCUGCCUUGUACAGGGGGAUAACAGUUGGAAACGGCUGCUAAUACCGCAUAAGCGCACGGCAUCGCAUGAUGCAGUGUGAAAAACUCCGGUGGUAUAAGAUGGACCCGCGUUGGAUUAGCUAGUUGGUGAGGUAACGGCCCACCAAGGCGACGAUCCAUAGCCGAACUGAGAGGGUGACCGGCCACAUUGGGACUGAGACACGGCCCAAACUCCUACGGGAGGCAGCAGUGGGGAAUAUUGCACAAUGGGCGAAAGCCCGAUGCAGCGACGCCGCGUGAGCGAAGAAGUAUUUCGGUAUGUAAAGCUCUAUCAGCAGGGAAGAUAAUGACGGUACCUGACUAAGAAGCACCGGCUAAAUACGUG